ensembl:rRNA 5S_rRNA 5S ribosomal RNA
ACCAGCAGCAUACCACCCUGCAUCCCACUGCUGGCUUGUCUCUGAAGCUAAACAGGGUUGGUCCUGGGUGGGAGACCAGAUGCUGCUGGAA